rnacentral:rRNA from 1 species
AUUGAACGCUGGCGGCAGGCUUAACACAUGCAAGUCGAGCGCGCCGCGGACGGGUGAGUUAUGUCUGGGAAACUGCCUGAUGGAGGGGGAUAACUUCUGGAAACGGUAGCUAAUACCGCAUACCAUCAGAUGUGCCCAGAUGGGAUUAGCUAGUAGGUGGGGUAAUGGCUCACCUAGGCGACGAUCCCUAGCUGGUCUGAGAGUAUGACCAGCCACACUGGAACGGAGACACGGUCCAGACUCCUACGGGAGGCAGCAGUGGGGAAUAUUGCACAAUGGGCGCAAGCCUGAUGCAGCCAUGCCGCGUGUGUGAAGAAGGCCUUCGGGUUGUAAAGCACUUUCAGCGAGGAGGCGUUACUCGCAGAAGAAGCACCGGCUAACUCCGUGCCAGCAGCCGCGGUAAUAC